rnacentral:pre_miRNA from 1 species
AGGUGUGAGGUGUAGCCAAGGAUGACUUGCCGAAAGAAAUUAAGGGAUUUCAUGUCAUUUCUUCAUUAUCUGGAUGAGAUUAGAGGAGAAUUGGCUUUGAGUCGAGGUCAUCCUAUAACCUUAGCUUAGUAGUUGUUAAUUUGUGAUUCGGCAAGUUGUCAUUGGUUACAUUUCAACCUUG